rfam:Brassica oleracea var. oleracea cultivar TO1000 chromosome C2, whole genome shotgun sequence
GGAAUAUAAGAACCCAUCUCUUAACUUUUAACUAAAAAAACUAAGAACCGGUUCUUAUAAGAGUUUUAAGAGCCGGUUCUUAACUUUUUUAGUUAUAAGUUAAGAGACAGGUUCUUAUAUUAC